AUUGAACGCUGGCGGCAGGCCUAACACAUGCAAGUCGAGCGGAUGAGGAAAGCUUGCUUUUCGAUUCAGCGGCGGACGGGUGAGUAAUGCUUAGGAAUCUGCCUAUUAGUGGGGGACAACAUUUCGAAAGGAACGCUAAUACCGCAUACGUCCUACGGGAGAAAGCAGGGGACCUUCGGGCCUUGCGCUAUCAGAUGAGCCUAGGUCGGAUUAGCUAGUUGGUGGGGUAAAGGCUCACCAAGGCGACGAUCCGUAACUGGUCUGAGAGGAUGAUCAGUCACACUGGAACUGAGACACGGUCCAGACUCCUACGGGAGGCAGCAGUGGGGAAUAUUGGACAAUGGGCGAAAGCCUGAUCCAGCCAUGCCGCGUGUGUGAAGAAGGUCUUCGGAUUGUAAAGCACUUUAAGUUGGGAGGAAGGGCAGUAAGUUAAUCCCUUGCUGUUUUGACGUUACCAACAGAAUAAGCACCGGCUAACUUCGUGCCAGCCGCCGCCGUAAAAC
rnacentral:rRNA from 1 species